AUAAGAAAAAGGGAGGCAAAUUUCGACUCUCAGUAUCCCCCGUCUCCUGGAACAUUCAGCGCCUAGUAAGUUUCUAUUUCACACGUAAAAACGUGAAAAGACGUGAUGGCAGCUUGAAGACCACGUAAUAUGUCUACAAGCCUCUGUUUCAUUAUAAUCCAGGAAAUAAAAUUAUCGCAAAUCAAA